AACGUAGGAGGCAAGCGUUAUCCGGAGUUACUGGGCGUAAAGCGCAUGUAGGCGGUUGGGUAAGUGGCGUGUGAAAGCUCCCGGCUAAACUGGGAGAGGACAGGUCAGACUGCCGAACUCGAGUCCGAUAGAGGGGCGUAGAAUUCCGGGUGUAGCGGUGAAAUGUGUAGAGAUCCGGAGGAAUACCAGUGGCGCAAGCGGCGCCCUGGGUCGGUACUGACGCUGAGAUGCGAAGCGUGGGGAGCGAACGGG
rnacentral:rRNA from 1 species